GAACGGGGAUGGUACAUGCGAGGGAGUAGUUUACUAUGACCAGACAAGUGCCAUCCUAGUGGCGGACGGGUGAGUAACGCGUGGGCAACCUGCCCUGUACAGGGGGAUAACACUUAGAAAUAGGUGCUAAUACCGCAUGAGCGCACAAAGGCGCAUGCCUAUGCGCGGGAAGCCCGCGAGGGCGGUACGGGAUGGGCCCGCGUCUGAUUAGCCAGUUGGCAGGGUAACGGCCUACCAAAGCGACGAUCAGUAGCCGGCCUGAGAGGGUGGACGGCCACAUUGGGACUGAGACACGGCCCAAACUCCUACGGGAGGCAGCAGUGGGGGAUAUUGCACAAUGGGGGAAACCCUGAUGCAGCGACGCCGCGUGAGUGAAGGAGCGUUUCGGCGCGUAAAGCUCUAUCAGCAGGGAAGACAAACUGCCCCGGAAGGGGCAGCCGGACGGUACCUGACCAAGAAGCCCCGGCUAACUACGUGCCAGCAGCCGCGGUAAUACGUAGGGGGCAAGCGUUAUCCGGAUUUACUGGGUGUAAAGGGAGCGUAGACGGCAAGACAAGCCUGGAGUGAAAGGCGGGGGCCCAACCCCCGGACUGCUCUGGGAACUGUCUGGCUGGAGUGCAGGAGGGGUAAGUGGAAUUCCUAGUGUAGCGGUGAAAUGCGUAGAUAUUAGGAGGAACACCAGUGGCGAAGGCGGCUUACUGGACUGUAACUGACGUUGAGGCUCGAAAGCGUGGGGAG
rnacentral:rRNA from 1 species